CAAAGGAAAAUAAUAAAAACAAUACAUUCAAUUGGGAGGAAGUUAAUAUACAGUAUAAUUGUUCAAAAAUAUUAAAAUUUGAAAGAUACAUAAAUAAAAUGAAUUUGAACUUGUUGAUGUUGUUUUCAACCAACAAUAAAAAGUAAAAUUCAAAAAUAAAUUCGAACUUGACUGCAAUAAUACUUGGAAUCGAAGAUUCCUAAAUAUUGUACGAAAUGUAAGAAGAAUAAAAGCAAACUAAUACUGAAAAGAAAAUAAAGAUGAUCCCCAAAGCGAAUUUUCACUGAAAUUGAUGCUGAUUGAAAAUGCCUUCUACCGGAUGCAAAUCGCCUGUUAUAUGUUCUCUAAAUCAGUUAUCAGAUCUUAUGUGAAGUCGGUUGUAACUGGCUGAACACCCCCCCUCGUGGUUGCAACCGCCUGAAGAACCGUCUUCGGUUAUGUUUCGUGCUACCAACUGACCAACCGACUAGACCAGGCGACUGAUCAACCGACCAAUCUAGCAACUGAUUAACCGACCAACCAUGCUCAUGGCCAACCGACCAAUCAAACGACUGAUCGACCGACCAAUCAAGCGACUGAUCAACCGACCUGUCAAGUGACCGAUCAACUGACCUGUUUCUUUAAUGGGCGUCCGAAAGCCCACUUUCUUUUUGGGUUUAUCUAUGGGCCCAAACGUUAGAAUCCAGCUAUAGGCCCAAUAAAAACCCUAAAAUAUUAUAAUAUAUAACAAUUUGUCUCCCCCCGCCCGACUCCCUAUCGUCACUUCUCGAUCAGUGUUAGAUGUGACGUUGUUAGGGAGUUUGUUCAUCAUGGCGCUGUCUAAUCACGGGGUUUUGUAAAAACCCCACUUAAAAUCCUUCCACUUCCAUCUUCUUCCUUAUGCCUUCUCAUUUCCACAUACAUUUUUCUCUCUCGCUGAACCUACUUCUUCUUUUCUCAUUCGAGCUUCACCAUUCUACUACCAUGGCCAACCAGUAUGUUCCAGCUUUGCCCUUCGAUGGCUUUGAUCCGAAAAUCCCUUUUGUUUCCUCUGUUGUGCUUACCCAACUCUUCGCCCCUACUGUACUUCUUCUGAGGAUGCUUCUCGCAUGAGGAGCAUCAUUUCUUCAGUUACCCUCUAGCCAUUAACAACCUUGACUUCAAACCCGAACGCGUUAAUGACCACAUCAAAACCCACCUUACCGAUCCGAAAGAUGCCUUUCGUUCCUGGUAUUCCAGGUUAUCCCCCAUUUUUGGCGAACAAUGGAGACGACAGGGGAUGGACAAGGCCAUUUUUCUCUCAACUCAACCCCUUUACCUCAACGAUAAAGUCCUUCUAGCCAUGGCGGCCUUUUGGAAUGCCCAACUGGGCAUUUUCCUUCUCCCAAUUGGCCCGAUUGGCCCGACCUUGAUGGAUGUGGCUAUGAUUGCCCAUCUCUCUGUCGUCGGCGACGAUCCGGUGUUAGGUUCGCUGGAUGGUCAGGAGCCGGCUUCUGACCACGAGGGCUGGUCGUUCGCCCGUACCUUUGAGAAAGAUCGGGGCUGGACAAAUUUUGUUGUCCGACAUCAGGGUGCGGACGGUGCCCCAACAACCGCCCUGGAACACACCGCCUUCCUCAUAUUCUGGUUGUGCAGGUAUGUGGGUUUCUUUGUUUCGGUCAAUUUUAUAUAUAUUUAUUCGAAAUUUGAAUUAUCCCUGUAUCCUUUACAGAUACAUAAUUCUCUGCCCCUUCAAAUCAGUUUUGACCUCGCAAUUAAAUUUAGCCAUUCAUCUUGCCAAUGGCCAAUUAUUUUAAUUGGGAACCCUCUUUUUGGCCAAUUUAUAUGAGGGUUUGUCCAGAGUCAGUGUCCACCUUCUGGACACUAAAAGGGCGGACACGGCCACCUCUGGCCCUUUUUUGUUCCUUGAGCUCUGGCUACGGCUGUAUUUUCCAACAGUCUUUUUUGGUCGGCUACCCAUAUCCCCGAACCCUCAGAGGUCGCUAGGGUUAGCCCUUGCCCAGCUUACCCCAAACUAUUCCACUCCAUCCUUCCGACCCUGUAAUUACGGCCAUUUUUUCAGACGACCGUAGCAAUUCCAAAUUUUUUGUUUAUAAGACUUACGUCCAGUACGCCACCGAGCUGUUCUGGCCUUAUUCGGAUACCACUUACUCCCAUCCAUAUCCUGAUCCUUUACCUCAUCCGACCUAUCCCCAUUCUUGGGACUCGGCUCUCAAACCCCAAUCCCUUUUUUUUUUCUAGUCCUAGGUUUGAUAAGAAAACUCACAAGUCUUUUUACACUUUUAAUUAUCAGCCGCAAUUUUUGUCCCGACAGUUCGGCUGCUGUCAAGGUCUGCCGGGUCCACUCGCCCGACCUUAGCUAAUAACCCAAAGUCCCGACGGGUGAGUGAUCCUUACUCUAAUUUUGCCCUAUCUUUCCCAACUUUUUUCUUAUCUUACGUCCAAUUCUUGUCUUCCUUUCCGCCGAGGCCCCAAGUCGGUUGAAGCUUUUCCUCCUGGUGGUCGGCCACCUGGGCUGUGGUGGCCCUUCCUUCUAACCAACUGUUGGAGAAAUUUAUUCCCCCUCCAGCCCUUGCCUUAGGCUAACCACCCCCUGCGGCCGUUCCUAAGAAGUGGUGGGCGGCUGCUGCUGAAGGCCCUAGUGCUCCGAAGACAAAUAGAGCCGCCCGCACCAAGGUCACCACGGAGCCGGCGUAUGAUCGGCAGGCGGUAGAAGACUACUUGGUGUCCUUACCUAUGGACCCCGCCUGGUUGCCCGCCAAUGUGUGCCGACACCUCGGUAAGGACUAACCUAACUCAACCUUCAUUUUUGUCUUUAUCUUAUGCGCUUCUGACAAUUCUUGUUUCCAAGUCGCUUCCCCCAACUACUGAGCAACCAACCGACCAGCUUGCUGAUCCACCAGCCGACCGACCAGCCGACCAACCACCAACCAACGAGCAGACUCACCAGCCGACCAACCAGCCGACCCACCAACCGAAGCGACAAUUCCUUCUUCGCCAGCUACGGUGGUUGCUCCGCAGCAGGUCGAACCACCAGUGGAACUGCCGUGAUUCGUCAGGAGAAGGACCUGACAUUGAGGCAGAUUCACUCUUCAUCCUCUACCUCUUCCCGACCAAAUGUUAUGGUACCUGCGGCGGUUGCUUCUAUAGAUGAACCAGUUGCCGCCGUCCAACAUCUAUCGGUGGCUCAUGAAUUGGUUCAACCGAACCCUGAACCAACCCCUCCGGCCCCUGAACCAGUCCAAAAUCCCGGGCCAGUCCAACACCCCGAACCAGUCGAGGUCUCUUCCUUGGAGUCGGGCGAUGCUUCCGUCAAUUAGAGUCAUGAAUAUGUGAACUGGGCUUCAUAGGUCCCCAUCUUGCAGCCGCCGAAUCGGUCGCCGGGAUGAGGAUCCGACCUGGUGCUCCGCCCCUGACCCCGGCUCUCCUGGCCCCUUCCGACGCCACGGCCGUCCUCACUCAGGCUACUCGUGAGAUCAACUUUCUCCCCAAAGUGCCUUUACUAGCCCCUGCCAGACCGGUGGUAGUGCGCUGUGCCGACUUAUCGUUUGCCGACUUGAGUCCUGGAGACCUUGAUUCUCUGGCUCAAGUGGCUAUCGACUUGUUGGUGAAGACUCCUGCUGAGUCUGUGGCAGCCCCAAUCCUCGAUCGGAUGAUGGUGAGGAUCACCGAGCUUCAGGCCGACCUUCCCUAGACUCUAGACGAAAGCAUCCAAGAGGAAAGUCGCCUGGUAACAGAACAACACCCGACUCAAGCAAGCCUCCAUGGCCAACUACAAGCGGGCAUUCAGUCGAGACUUGUACAAGAACACCAGACGGCUUUUCAGCAAUGGAGGACAGCCCGGUCUGCACAAAAAUGGGCAAACCUACAAACCGCCCUGAGAGCCCUCCUUUUGUAGAUAUAGACAAUGUCAUCCCUUGUAUAAAUAUAAAUUUUCACCUUAAUUUUAUCCUAUUUUUUUUUAUCACUGAUCCACGAAUUUGCACCAUAAAAUUACAACACAACUCGCCUAUUUAAAUCAAACUUCGAAAGAACAAUUCACAGCUAACCUUCAAACCCUCCAACACAUGGCUUCUCCCCGAAUCCGUAUUCCUGCCACCAACUCGGAAAGUUCCCUGCAACCAUUUUUUGUAGGCAAACACCCUAUAGGACACCAUGCUGAAGACCUGAUACAAGUGCUUAAACAACUCGACUUUAAAUUCAAGUUUUCUGGUAGGAGUAGGAAAAUCAUACACCGCACGAUUUGUUUGAUGGAACAUGUAUCCACUGGCUAUGAACCUCUUACCGAAAUUCUCACUCGCAUAUCCGACCUUGAUCAUCACAUGGACAUGAUAGAUCAUCAUGUCAUGGCCGUUCUCCCCGACCUCACCUAGAACAAUAUCUUAUAUCAACAAAGAUCAACACUCUCCAGAUUGCGCGUUCUUAUUGAGCGAGAACGUCACUCUUUACAAGAUGUGAAAGUUUGCACCGAACAAGACCUUCAAGAAAUGCAAGACCAAUGGGAUCGUUAUCGCCCCGACAUAGAAGAUCUCCUUGAUGAGGAACCUGAAAUGGUUACUGCAAAUUGGGACGGAGAUUUGGAGCCAGAAGAUGAUCACGUUUGUGUCACCCUUUCGGAUGACGAAUAAAAACCCUUCAUAUGGGUUCAAACCCUUAAAGGGUUCUUAUAUUUCUUGCAAUAAAAUUAAUGACAACGCUCUGAAAAGGCAGGAAAAUACCUUUUCAAAUACUUGGCAUUAAUAUUUUCAUGUAGUAACUUCCCUUCCUGAUUCACAAUAAUAAAAGCUCCGUUCCCGAUUUUCCUGUGAAUGAUGAAAGGCCCCUCCCAAUUUGGAUCCUUCCGAUGAUUCGGCCGGACCUCAACCGUAUGAAAUUUUCGUCUGACGUAGGAUCAGCAAUCUUGCCUUUCUCCCACUGUGGUCGCCAAAUUGUUGAUGUUGUUUUCAACCAAUAAUAAAAAGUAAAAUUUGAAAAUAAAUUCAAACUUGACUGCAUUUAUACCUGGAAUCGAGGAUUCCUAAAUAUUGUACGAAAUGUAAGAAGAAUAAAAGCAAACUAAUACUGAAAAGAAAAUAAAGAUGAUCCCCAAAGUGAAUUUUCACUUAAAUUGAUGCUGAUUGAAGAUAUCUUCUACCAGAUGCAAAUCGUCUGUUAUAUGUUCUCUAAAGCAGUUAUCAGAUCGUGUGCGCAGUCGGUUGUAACCGGCUGAACACCCCCCCUCGUGGUUGCAACCGCCUGAAGAACCGUCUUUGGUUAUGUUUCGUGCUACCAACCGGCCAACCGACUAGACCAGGCGACUGAUCAACCAACCAAUCUAGCGACUGAUUAACCGACCGACUAUGCUCCUGGCCAACCGACCAAUCAAGCGACUGAUCGACCGACCAAUCAAGCGACCGAUCAACCGACCUGUUUCUUUAAUGAGCGUCCGAAGGCCCACUUUCGUUUUGAGUUUAUCUGUGAGCUUAAACGUUAAGAAUCCAGUUAUAGACCCAA